rnacentral:lncRNA from 1 species
CCCAAAACUCCCCAAUUCCCCCCAAAACCCCCCAAACCCCCCAAAAUCCCCCCAAAAACCAGAAACCCCUCAAAACCCCAAAAAGCCCCCAAAUCACCCCAACCCCCCCCCAGGACGCGGGAGGUGCCAGGGGAGCUCUUUGACUACGAGGCCGUGCACAACAUCGACCCCCUGGGCACCGACUUCUGCGUCCGCUUCCGCGAGGGCAUGCGGCACUGGAACAUGACCGUGCAGUGGUGGCUGGCACACUACAUCCACCGCCGCGCCCCCCGCAGCCCCCCCCGUGCUGAGGAGCGCCUGCACCAUGCUGGUCUCGGCCUACUGGCACGGGCUGCACCCCGGCUACUACCUGAGCUUCCUGAGCGUGCCGCUGUGGCUGGCGGCCGAGCGGGCGGCCGAGAAGGCCCUGGGGGGGCUGCUGGCCCCGGGGGGGCCACCGCUGGCCCGCGGCCUGCAGUGGUUCCUGAAGAUGCGCGCCUACGACUACCUCUGCAUGGGCUUCGUGCUGCUGGGCGCCCGCCACACGCUGCGCUACUGGGCCUCCGUCGGCUUCUGCCUCCACCUCCUGCCCCUCCUCAUCCUCGCCGCCGCUGCCGUGGCGGGGCCACGCCAGAAAGUGGCCCAAAAGUGAGGGAAAGUGGCCCAAAAGUGAGGGAAAGUGGCCCAAGAUGGACCCCCAAGGGACGCAAAACACCACAAAAUGGACUCCAAAGGGACACAAAACAACACAAAGGACUCCAAAAUGCCCCAAAAUGGACUCCAAAGGGACACAAAACACCACAAAAUGGACUCCAAAAUGAUUAAAAGUACUCAAAACAAUCCCAAAGGACUCUAAAAUGCCCUGAAAUGGAUGCCAAGGGGACAGAAAAUGCCCCAAAGUGCUGAGAAUUGCCCCAAAA